CCUACGGGCGGCAGCAGUGGGGAAUAUUGGGCAAUGGGCGCAAGCCUGACCCAGCAACGCCGCGUGAAGGAAGAAGGCUUUCGGGUUGUAAACUUCUUUUCUGAGGGACGAAGAAAGUGACGGUACCUCAGGAAUACGCCACGGCUAACUACGUGCCAGCAGCCGCGGUAAUACGUAGGCGGCAAGCGUUCUCCGGAUUUAUUGGGUGUAAAGGGAGUGUAGGCGGGAAAGCAAGUCAGAGGUGAAAUCUGAGGGCUCAACCCUGGGCCUGCAUUUGCAACUGUUUUUCGUGAGUGCAGGAGAGGCAAGCGGAAUUCCGGGUGUAGCGGUGAAAGGCGUAGAUAUACGGAGGAACACCGGUGGCGAAGGCGGAUUGCUGGACUGUAACUGACGCUGAGGCUCGAAAGCGUGGGGAGCAAACAGGAUUAGAUACCCUAGUAGUC
rnacentral:rRNA from 1 species